rnacentral:tRNA from 1 species
GGCGAGGUGGCCGAGUCUGGUUUAUGGCAGCGGUCUUGAAAACCGCCGUGCGCGAGGAGCGCACCGUGGGUUCGAAUCCCACCCUCGCCGCCA